rnacentral:rRNA from 1 species
UGGGGAAUUUUGGACAAUGGGGGCAACCCUGAUCCAGCCAUCCCGCGUGUGCGAUGAAGGCCUUCGGGUUGUAAAGCACUUUUGGCAGGGAAGAAACAGCCCGGGCUAAUAUCCCGGGCGACUGACGGUACCUGCAGAAUAAGCACCGGCUAACUACGUGCCAGCAGCCGCGGUAAUACGUAGGGUGCAAGCGUUAAUCGGAAUUACUGGGCGUAAAGCGUGCGCAGGCGGUUCGGAAAGAAAGGUGUGAAAUCCCAGGGCUUAACCUUGGAACUGCACUUUUAACUACCGGGCUAGAGUACGUCAGAGGGGGGUAGAAUUCCACGUGUAGCAGUGAAAUGCGUAGAGAUGUGGAGGAAUACCGAUGGCGAAGGCAGCCCCCUGGGAUGAUACUGACGCUCAUGCACGAAAGCGUGGGGAGCAAACA